GACGAACCGUGCGAACGUUGUUCGGAAUCACUGGGCUUAAAGGGCGCGUAGGCGGUCGAAUUAGUCGGGGGUGAAAUCUUGCAGCUCAACUGCAAAAGUGCCUUCGAAACUGUUCGACUCGAGGGAGGUAGGGGCAGGUGGAACUUCCAGUGGAGCGGUGAAAUGUGUUGAUAUUGGAAGGAACGCCGGUGGCGAAAGCGACCUGCUGGAUCUCUUCUGACGCUGAGGCGCGAAAGCUAGGGGAGCAAACGGG
rnacentral:misc_RNA from 1 species